CAGCGCCGCGGUAAUACAGAGGGUGCGAGCGUUAAUCGGAUUUACUGGGCGUAAAGCGUGCGUAGGCGGCUUCUUAAGUCGGAUGUGAAAUCCCUGAGCUUAACUUAGGAAUUGCAUUCGAUACUGGGAAGCUAGAGUAUGGGAGAGGAUGGUAGAAUUCCAGGUGUAGCGGUGAAAUGCGUAGAGAUCUGGAGGAAUACCGAUGGCGAAGGCAGCCAUCUGGCCUAAUACUGACGCUGAGGUACGAAAGCAUGGGGAGCAAACAGGAUUAGAUACCCGCGUAGUCCCUGUCUCUAAUACA
rnacentral:rRNA from 1 species